UACGUAGGGUGCGAGCGUUGUCCGGAAUUAUUGGGCGUAAAGGAGCUCGUAGGCGGUUUGUUGCGUCGGCUGUGAAAUCCCGAGGCUCAACCUCGGGUCUGCAGUCGAUACGAGCAAACUAGAGUGUUGCAGGGGAGACUGGAAUUCCUGGUGUAGCGGUGAAAUGCGCAGAUAUCAGGAGGAACACCGGUGGCGAAGGCGGGUCUCUGGGCAACAACUGACGCUGGAGGAGCGAAAGCGUGGGGAGCGAACAGG
rnacentral:rRNA from 1 species